GAUGAACGCUAGCUACAGGCUUAACACAUGCAAGUCGCGGGGUAACAUCUGGGAGAGCUUGCUCUUCCAGGAUGACGACCGGCGCACGGGUGAGUAACGCGUAUCCAACCUGGCCCAUACCACGGGAUAGCCCGUCGAAAGGCGGAUUAAUACCGUAUGCUGUCAUUAAGAUGCAUAUAUUGAUGACGAAAGGACUGGCGGUAUGGGAUGGGGAUGCGUCUGAUUAGUUAGUCGGCGGGGUAACGGCCCACCGAGACGACGAUCAGUAGGGGUUCUGAGAGGAAAGUCCCCCACAUUGGAACUGAGACACGGUCCAAAACUCCUACGGGAGGCAGCAGUGAGGAAUAUUGGUCAAUGGGCGGAAGCCUGAACCAGCCAAGUAGCGUGCAGGACGACGGCCCUAUGGGUUGUAAACUGCUUUUAUAAGGGAAUAAAGUGAGUCUCGUGAGACUUUUUGCAUGUACCUUAUGAAUAAGGACCGGCUAAUUCCGUGCCAGCAGCCG
rnacentral:rRNA from 1 species